GGUUUGGGACCGGUUAGGGUCAAGGUGGCAGUAUGUUCACCGGAGGAAAUUCAGGGAAGCACCUCUGUGUUCAUAAACAGGGUGGGAUAUAGAAUCAGAUGGGAGACUGAAGAAGGAAACAUGGAGCAACUGAAUCCUUCUCCAAAGAAGAAAAAAGAGGAAAAACAAAAGGAUGUUGACAAGGAUAAAGGUGAUGACAAGGGUCCCUCCAAAAAAAAGGGAGAGUCAUCGAAGGAUGGAGAAGCAAAAGGGAGCAGAGGGCCUUAACCUCAUUCAGCUCCACCAAAACUGCCAGGGUCAAAACAACAGCAGUUGCUGGCCCUGACAAUGAACCAAGUUUCAGAGAAGAAUGGGGAUUAUAAGAAUCCUGAGACAAUACUAAAAUCUGGAAGAGAUGCAGGCAAGGAGAUGGUAGUAUGGGAGUCACAAAUGGAGCAAAAGGUAAACACAAAAGGAGUGCCAGCUGAUCAGUCUCUAGAUAUGCUCACUCAGAUGGAUGUGGAAAAAAUUGACAGUCUGUCUCAGAAUCUGAAUGACUCCUAUGAGGCUGAAGAUGAAGUGGACUAUGACUACUCUGAUUUAGAGGUGCAGGAGGGGAUGAUCUCAACUCAGAAACUGGAAGCUUACUUUGAAGAAGAAGGCAAAGAGAAAGAUAAGCCAAACAGGGGAGAAAUCUGCUUGGGGAAGAGGAUAACAUGAGCAUGGAGAUAGAAAUCAAUCAAGAGGGAGAUAAGGAAAAUGAGCAACCCAUGCAUGAAGCUAAGAAGAGAAGAAAAGAGGUGGUACAGGCUAUCAGGCAGAGUGACAGGAUCAAAAAUAAGGAUAUCUCGGUGGCGACCAAGGCUGAAAUCAGAACUUCAAAGAAGAAUUUGGAUGGAGAAAUGGAGUUUGCUACAAAGUGAAGAGAUGAAGGGCAUCCUGAAAACUUGGAUAGAAGAGAUGAGUUGGAAAAUGAAGCUUUGGAGACCUGAAGUUCAUCUGCCAGAAGAUAUCUGAUAAUUUUCUAAGAAAUGCCUUAGUACUGUGUCACUGUUCCCCAAACGUUUUGUCAUUUCCUUUUAGGAACUCUAUCAGGGGUUUUGCAUGGAGCCUGUUCCAGCUUGCAAAACUUUUUUUUUCUCUUGCUUGCAGUACUUUUGUCUUGGGCUUUCUCCAAAAAGCCGGAUCGUUAUCUAAUAUAAUGAUCUUUCCUCUAAAAAAAAGUUGUGAUUCAAAUUCAUUUACACUCAUACAAAGACCCACUUCGGACGGAGCGAAGCGGAGGCCCAUUGUGUUGUGCACGGUGCCGACGAUGGCGUUGACGGGGAGGACGCUGAGGCCGAGGACGGCGAGGAACACGGACACCGUGCCGAUGUCCCAGCCGAAGUAGUAGCCGGUGACCACGCUCGAUUCGGCGAGGAGGAUCUCCAUGGCGUACUUGAGCA